UUCUGGAAUAGCAAAAUUAAGUGUUUCUAGUUUAGGACUAGAGGGUGUAAAAUGGUUACUUUCAGAAU
rnacentral:tRNA from 1 species